rnacentral:rRNA from 1 species
GAUGAACGCUGGCGGCGUGCCUAAUACAUGCAAGUCGAGCGAACAGACGCGGCGCUUGCUCCUCUGACGUUAGCGGCGGACGUGUGAGUAACACGUGGAUAACCUACCUAUAAGACUGGGAUAACUUCGGGAAACCGGAGCUAAUACCGGAUAAUAUAUUGAACCGCAUGGUUCAAUAGUGAAAGACGGUUUUGCUGUCACUUAUAGAUGGAUCCGCGCCGCAUUAGCUAGUUGGUAAGGUAACGGCUUACCAAGGCAACGAUGCGUAGCCGACCUGAGAGGGUGAUCGGCCACACUGGAACUGAGACACGGUCCAGACUCCUACGGGAGGCAGCAGUAGGGAAUCUUCCGCAAUGGGCGAAAGCUUGACGGAGCAACGCCGCGUGAGUGAUGAAGGUCUUCGGAUCGUAAAACUCUGUUAUUAGGGAAGAACAAAUGUGUAAGUAACUAUGCACGUCUUGACGGUACCUAAUCAAAAAGCCACGGCUAACUACGUG